rnacentral:rRNA from 1 species
AUACGUAGGGGACGAGCGUUGUCCGGAAUUACUGGGCGUAAAGGGCGCGCAGGCGGAUAUUUAAGUCAGCUGUAAAAGGCAUGAGCUCAACUCAUGUAUGCGGUUGAAACUGGGUAUCUAGAGUGCUGGAGAGGUAGACGGAAUCUCCGGUGUAGCGGUGAGAAGCGUAGAUAUCGGGAAGAACACCAGUGGCGAAAGGGGCUUACUGGCCAGCAACUGACGCUGAGGCGCGAAAGCCAGGGGAGCGAACGGGAUUAGAUACCCCGGUAGUCCUGGCCGUAAACGAUGAAUGCUAGGUGUGGGUGUCGAGAGGCAUCCGUGCCGGAGUUAACGCGAUAAGCAUUCCGCCUGGGGAGUACGGCCGCAAGGUUGAAACUUAAAGGAAUUGACGGGG